UAUUAGUUUGAAAGCUAGUUUCUUGAGUUC
rnacentral:piRNA from 1 species